UACGUAGGGUGCAAGCGUUGUCCGGAAUUAUUGGGCGUAAAGAGCUUGUAGGCGGUCUGUCGCGUCUGCUGUGAAAAUCCGGGGCUCAACCCCGGACUUGCAGUGGGUACGGGCAGACUAGAGUGUGGUAGGGGAGACUGGAAUUCCUGGUGUAGCAGUGAAAUGCGUAGAUAUGCGGAGGAACACCGAUGGCGAAGGCAGGUCUCUGGGCCACUACUGACGCUGAGAAGCGAAAGCAUGGGGAGCGAACAGG
rnacentral:rRNA from 1 species